CUUGCUAUGCUUUUUGUCACUUAAUAAAGGUGAAAUAGACCAGAGGAGCCAUUCUGUCACCAACACAGCAUCACUGCAGCUGAGCUUACAGUUGGUCUGCUGGAGAAGCUGUAGGUUCUGGGGUCCUUGAGGAUGCUGCAUCUACCUGCAGCAGGCAAAUACAAUCCCUUCCCUUAAUCCCUGAAGCUCAGCAAUGAAGUUUUGUUUCAAGCACCUGGAAGGCAAGAACAGACAUUCUUCCAUUUUUCUUCAAACAGUAAAUGCUGGAUGAAGCUCCAUAACAGAAUAUAUUGGCUGCUGCUCCUGCUUUGCUCCAUGACAGUUGCAUGAUCUUCUCAUGUUUCCUGACCACUGCACAAAGAUAUUCCUUCUCUGUGACAGCUCUGAGAAGUCAUUCUCUAUCACUGUUGUGUGGGAAUUAUUAACUAAGGUAUCAGAAAACUCAUUUCCAAUGAAUGGGACAGCCUAAAUCUUCAUAAAUUCUGUGAACUUUGCAAGAGUAACAGACGCAGUUGAAUGUCUGGAUGUCUCACAACUUGGUACAUCCAAGUUUAGGAUAUGUUCUUAGGUGAAAAUCCACCAAUAUAAUAGUAGGAAAUUAUUCAGCUAUAGGUACCUAGAGCUGUUUCCUUUUUGGACUACAAAAGUUAACAGUGAUGGCAAGAAACCUGUCAUGCCUUUAAUUUGCUUUAAAAAUAAAACACUCCUCCCUACCUUUUAAUAACACUAUAGCCUGUGCUCUUUCCAAAGUUCUAUAAACGGCCUUAAAAAGAGAACUCUGAAUCUGUGAAAUGUGGCAAGUUGACUUAACAUCUGGAAGUACUCUCGGGGCUUUUCACGAGACAGUGAAAAACUGGGCUGUGUGAUUUCUUGAUAUUCAUGCAAGGAAUGCCCAGUAGCAUCAUUGAUAGUAAAUAAAAUAUUACAUUUUCUACACUGGAGAUUGGUGUUUUAAUGUUUGGGUUUGAGCAUUUCCUGACAUGUUGCUACCAAUACAUAAUGUUAGGAGCUGUUUGUUUUUACUUUGUAACUAGAGGAGGUAAUCUAAUACUCAUUAGGUAAUCUUUAUUGGGCCAUCUCUGCUGCAUUUAUACUGAAUUGUACCCUUAUUACUUUUUAGUUCCAUUUAUUUCAUCUGUUAAAAUUAGAUAUUUUCCACUGUAUUUAAAAAGCAUCCAUGUUCUUGGCUAGCAAGCCCAGAACUUGAUGCUAUUAGAAACUGUUUCUAAAGCAAUUUCUAAAAUACAUUUUAUGAUUCCCAUCUCUUCUGAUUAGGAAGAAAUGUUCACAGUAUGCGUGGUAGAGAAAAUCAAAGGAAAGAACACUCCAACAACUGUUCAUAUAACAACAUAUGAUGAUUAAAAAGUACCAUGUUUAAAGAGCUCUUCAUAUCUUACUUCUAAUUGUUUUGGUUUUGGAUCUUCCUUAAUCUCUUUAAAAAUAAUAAUUAAAAAAAAAAGAAACAAAAAAAGAAAGCGAGCAUUUUUAACAGCUUAAUCCUUGU